AACGAACGCUGGCGGCAUGCCUAACACAUGCAAGUCGAACGAGACCUUCGGGUCUAGUGGCGCACGGGUGCGUAGCGCGUGGGAACCUGCCCUUAGGUUCGGAAUAACUCCCCGAAAGGGGUGCUAAUACCGGAUAAUGUCUUCGGACCAAAGAUUUAUCGCCUUUGGAUGGUCCCGAGUUGGAUUAGCUAGUUGGUAGGGUAAAAGCCUACCAAGGCGACGAUCCAUAGCUGGUCUGAGAGGAUGAUCAGCCACACUGGGACUGAGACACGGCCCAGACUCCUACGGGAGGCAGCAGUGGGGAAUAUUGGACAAUGGGCGAAAGCCUGAUCCAGCAAUGCCGCGUGAGUGAUGAAGGCCUUAGGGUUGUAAAGCUCUUUUACCCGGGAUGAUAAUGACAGUACCGGGAGAAUAAGCUCCGGCUAACUCCGUG
rnacentral:rRNA from 1 species